rnacentral:rRNA from 1 species
CUACUACCGAUUGAAUGGCUCAGUGAGGCUUUCGGACCUACGUAAGGAGGUCGGCAACGACCACCUAGCGCGGGAAAGUUGUUCAAACUUGGUCAUUUAGAGGAAGUAAAAGUCGUAACAAGGUU